UGGGGGAUAUUGCACAAUGGGCGAAAGCCUGAUGCAGCGACGCCGCGUGGGGGAUGAAGGCUUUCGGGUUGUAAACCUCUUUCGCUAUCGAACAAGGCCCGCUUAGGGUGGGUUGAGGGUAGGUGGAGAAGAAGCGCCGGCUAACUACGUGCCAGCAGUCGCGGUAAUACGUAGGGCGCGAGCGUUGUCCGGAAUUAUUGGGCGUAAAGGGCUUGUAGGCGGCUUGUUGCGCCUGCUGUGAAAACGCGGGGCUUAACUUCGCGCGUGCAGUGGGUACGGGCAGGCUUGAGUGUGGUAGGGGUGACUGGAAUUCCAGGUGUAGCGGUGGAAUGCGCAGAUAUCUGGAGGAACACCGAUGGCGAAGGCAGGUCACUGGGCCAUUACUGACGCUGAGGAGCGAAAGCAUGGGUAGCGAACAGG
rnacentral:rRNA from 2 species